rnacentral:rRNA from 1 species
CCUACGGGUGGCAGCAGUGAGGAAUAUUGGUCAAUGGACGGGAGACUGAACCAGCCAAGUCGCGUGAGGGAUGACGGUCCUGAGUAUUGUAAACUUCUUUUGUCUGGGAAUAAAGUCUUCGACGUGUGGGAGGUUGAAUGUACCAUAUGAAUAAGGAUCGGCUAACUCCGUGCCAGCAGCCGCGGUAAUACGGAGGAUCCGAGCGUUAUCCGGAUUUAUUGGGUUUAAAGGGAGCGUAGGGGGGUUGUUAAGUCAGUGGUGAAAGUUUGGGGCUCAACCGCAAAAUUGCAGUUGAAACUGGCAGUCUUGAGUAGAGGAGAGGUAGGCGGAAGUCGUGGUGUAGCGGUGAAAUGCUUAGAUAUCGCGAAGAACUCCGAUUGCGAAGGCAGCACACCGG